CUUUAACGAGGAACAAUUGGAGGGCAAGUCUGGUGCCAGCAGCCGCGGUAAUUCCAGCUCCAAUAGCGUAUAUUAAUGUUGUUGCGGUUAAAAAGCUCGUAGUUGGAUCUCGGCGGGCAGGGGGCGGUUCGAUAUUUGUCGCUACUGCCCCAUUUGCCCGUGUUUUUGGCGGAGGUUUCGGGGUGCUCUUAAUCGAGUGUCUCGGGAUGCCGUCAGGUUUACUUUGAAAAAAUUAGAGUGCUCAAAGCAGGCUUUACACGCUUGAAUAUUCGUGCAUGGAAUAAUAGAAUAGGACGUCGUUUCUAUUUUGUUGGUUUUCGGAAAUCGACGUAAUGAUUAACAGGGACAGUCGGGGGCAUUAGUAUUCAGACGACAGAGGUGAAAUUCUUGGACCGUCUGAAGACUAACUACUGCGAAAGCAUUUGCCAAGAAUGUUUUCAUUAAUCAAGAACGAAAGUUAGAGGUUCGAAGGCGAUCAGAUACCGCCCUAGUUCUAACCAUAAACGAUGCCAGCUAGCGAUCCGCGGGUGUUUUUCUCUUAGGCCCCGCGGGAAGCUUCCGGGAAACCAAAGCUUUUGGGUUCCGGGGGAAGUAUGGUUGCAAAGCUGAAACUUAAAGGAAUUGACGGAAG
rnacentral:rRNA from 1 species